UACGUAGGCAGCGAGCGUUGUUCGGAAUUAUUGGGCGUAAAGAGCUCGUAGGCGGUCUGUCGCGUCGGCUGUGAAAACCUGGGGCUCAACUCCGGGCCUGCAGCCGAUACGGGCAGACUAGAAUUCGGUAGGGGAGACUGGAAUUCCGAGUGUAGAGGUGAAAUUCGUAGAUAUUCGGAAGAACACCAGUGGCGAAGGCGACUUACUGGACACAUAUUGACGCUGAGGUGCGAAAGCGUGGGGAGCAAACAGG
rnacentral:rRNA from 1 species